UUUUUUUUUUUUUAUAAAACAAGGAUACAAGGGAUCCCUGGGUGGCGCAGCGGUUUGGCGCCUGCCUUUGGCCCAGGGCGUGAUCCUGGAGACCUGGGAUCGAAUCCCGCGUCACGCUCCUGGUGCAUGGAGCCUGCUUUUUCUCCCUCUGCCUAUGUCUCUGCCUCUCUCUCUCUGUGUGACUAUCAUAAAUAAAUAAAAAUAAAAAUAAAAAAACAAGGAUACAAUAUGCAUUUGAUAAUUCUCUUUAAAAACAAUAUAUCUAAGCCAUAAUUCCUUUAGGAUUUUGUGUUGUAGAUGUUCUCCUAAAUUUGUCAGUUGGACUUUUUUCAGUGAAGAGAAGUUAGACUUAAGUUUGAACCGUACAGCCCAUUUUUUUUUUUUUUUUUUUUUUUAAUUUUUUUGUACAGCCCAUUUCUUGCUCCCUGUAAUAGCUCUGAGCUUCCCAAGAGAAGGGGGCUCCGCCUGCUGUGUGUUCCGAGACGACCUGCCUAAUGGUCAUUUUCCUUCCUUUCUGCUUUGCUUAGGGAUCAGUGUCUUGCCCUUUCCCAGCCUAGGGAUAGGACCGAAACUUCAGGUGGUUUAGUUCUGUCAGUUAUAUGCCACUUGAGAGAGAAAAUUUAAAUUAGCCUGGCUUCAUUACAAACACCAAAUACUUCCUAAGCCCCUUAAUGAUGGCAAUUUAAAAAUUCACUUUUUAAAAAAAGUUUUUUUUUUUUAAGGUACAAAAGGAUACACGAUGGGAAAUAAAAAAUCCUCCCCUACCUUGUCCCACUCCUCAGAAGAAAUCACUGAUAAAUUUCUUAUAUAUCUUUCCACAAAUUUUUUAAAUCCAAACACGCAAAUAUAUAUUUUUCUCUUUUACAUAAAUGGGAAUCCUACUAUGCCUACUCCUCUAUAACUUGCUUUUUUCACUUCUUUUAUAGCUAGUAUUUAAGAAAAAUCAAUAUAGAUAAAUGGUAAACAAUAACAACAACUAAACAGUUUAAAAGAAUAUGUGGAGAAAAAUAAGCCUCCACCCCACUAUGGACUAUUUGUCCCUUCCCCAGAGGCAGCCACUAAGUUUCUCGUAUACCCCUCCGGAGAUUUUCUAUACUAGCACGCAUACAUCAUAAGAAUGUCCACAACUUCUGGGUACCUGGGUAGCUAAGUUGGUAGGGCCUACUCCAACUCUUGGUUUCUGUUCAGGUCAUGAUCUCAUGGGUCCUGGGAUCAGACUGUGUCAGCCUCCUCGCUCAGUGGGGAGUCUGCUUGGAGAUUCUCUCCCUCUGUGCCUCCUCCCCUCAACCCCCCUCAAAUAAAUAAAUCUUAAAAAAAAAAAAA
rnacentral:lncRNA from 1 species